CACUUCUUCUUCCUCUCUAUUUUGUGUCUCUUUCUCCUCUUUCUCUAUAUUACAAUAACUGUAUAUACUUUUUGUGGAAAGGGAUUUUAAGAAAGAGAAAGUGUAACCGUGAACCCCUGACUCAAUUUCAUACAAAGCGAAAAAAAGCUUGAGAGAGAUUCAAACUAGUCCAUCGUGGAAUCAAACAUUUAGCGUUUGUAGUGAGCAGAUAGAUCGGAGUUGCUCUCUUAAUUUUCUUCAGUAAAAGAUAUGGAAGAAGGUGUUGGAAGAACAUUUAGCUAUAAAUCGAAGUUGUUAGGGUUGCUGCUAAAGACUUUGGUAGUACAGAAGAAGAAGAAGAGGAAGAAGAAAAUGAAGGAACAAACUGGUUUAUGUAUGAUUUGGAAGAUUGGUAUAGGCGGGUUCGGAAAUGUGGUUAUCUAGGAUUUCUAAUCCUUGGCUCUCAAUUCCCUUCCUGAUUUCAUUUCUGAUUUCGAAACCCCACCCACCGGAAUCCCUACUCGGAAAUAGUUUGGGAUCAAUUCCAGAAGUUGGUGACAGAUAUGAAUGAAGACAUCUAGGACGAUGAUUCGAGACCAAUUUUAGAAAUCUGUGGAAAGGAAACAGAUGUUGUAGCUUUAUACAGGCUUGCUGUUAAGGGUCCUGAUAAUGGAUGCAGAUGUAAUAGCGUCAGAUCUAUUGCAGGCGCUCGAUCAUCCACUAGGUGUUCCGUCGGGAACAAUAGCUAUUGCCUCGAUCAUCAAUUAGGCGUGUCGAGAAAAAGCGCCUCUUAUUGAUACGACGGAUGAUAGAUCACUGGAGGUGUUGCAUUUGGCUGAAUCAUCUUCUUCUGCUGAGCAGACUAGACUGCACGACGUUGCCCGAAGUUGGUAUCUAAAGAUCUGAUUGUGGGAUGUUAAUAGUGAAGGCAAGAGAAGAAAUGGGCAUUAUGUACUCAUCUUCAUACUCUGUAUGGACGGACUCGGAAAAGUGAACAGCUCUGAUUGUGGGAUGUUCAUAGUGAAGUCAAGAGAAAAAUGGUAUUAUGCACUCAUCUUUAUAAUCUGUAUGGACGGAUUCGGAAAAGUGAAUAGGUAACAUAGAUUUUCAAGUACUAUGUUUGACAACUAGAGCAUAAUUUCAUACAAGAUUUUCGUAUACUAUGUUAUUACAAUCUUUUUA